GAUGAACGCUGGCGGCGUGCCUAACACAUGCAAGUCGAGCGAAGCGCCUUACUUGAUUUCUUCGGGAUGAAAGUAUUGUGACUGAGCGGGCGACGGGUGAGGUGCGACGUAGGACUGCUCAGACUGGAUAACUACCGGAACGGUAGCUAAUACCGGAUAAUUUCUUUCCUCUCCUGAAGAGAGAAUGAAAGGCGGAGCAAUCUGCUACUUGGGGAUGGGCCUGCGGCGCAUUAGCUAGUUGGUGAGGUAACGGCUCACCAAGGCGACGAUGCGUAGCCGACCUGAGAGGGUGAACGGCCACACUGGGACUGAGACACGGCCCAG
rnacentral:rRNA from 1 species